rnacentral:rRNA from 1 species
ACUCCUACGGGAGGCAGCAGUGAGGAAUUUUCUGCAAUGGGCGAAAGCCUGACAGAGCAAUACCGCGUGAGGGAUGAAGACUUACUGAGUUGUAAACCUCGGUACCUUAAGGAAGAAGAUAUGACGGUACUUAAGGUGGAAAGCAUCGGCUAACUCCGUGCCAGCAGCCGCGGUAAU